rnacentral:ncRNA from 1 species
AAUCCUGCUCAGAAUGAAAGAAACCACAGGUCCAGACAAUUGAUGUACGUACUUGGCUGAAGAGCCACUGGAGUGAGGCUGCCAUCUGUGAGAUUAUGACUGAACACCUCUAAGUCUGAAUUCCC